GUAGGUGAACCUGCGGAAGGAUCAUUAACUACAUAUAUCAUCUUGCUGGCCUCACAGCUGGCUUGGUGAUAAUAUAACAAAACCAAAAUUUACAAUCCGUGAACAUUACAAACACAAAAAAUGAUGGGUUCGCGUGUCAUUACUUCUCUUGAAUGCACGUGCUCAGCCAAUACCAAUUCCACCAAUUUUUUAACCAUAUUAACAACCAUUACCGUAACGAUAGUCCCUCGGGAUUAGCGUACUAAAACAAGCGCAUGUUAUUACUUUCGAGAAUGCAUGCACCAACUUAUUCUAAUAAAAAGAGAAAAUACAACUCUUAACAAUGGAUAUCUUGGCUCUC
rnacentral:misc_RNA from 1 species